GAUGAAGAACGUAGCGAAACGCGAUAGUUAAUGUGAAUUGCAGAAUUCAGUGAAUCAUCGAAUCUUUGAACGCACAUUGCGCCCGCCAGUAUUCUGGCGGGCAUGCCUGUUCGAGCGUCAUUACAACCCUCAGGCCCCCGGGCCUGGCGUUGGGGAUCGGCGGAAGCCCCCUGUGGGCACACGCCGUCCCUCAAAUACAGUGGCGGUCCCGCCGCAGCUUCCAUUGCGUAGUAGCUAACACCUCGCAACUGGAGAGCGGCGCGGCCAUGCCGUAAAACACCCAACUUCUGAAUGUUGACCUCGAAUCAGGUAGGAAUACCCGCUGAACUUAAGCAUAUCAAUAAGCGGAGGA
rnacentral:misc_RNA from 1 species